GGGGUCUCAAAAGUGGAUAAUCUUCAAGUAAUUCACGUUCUGUAAGUGUGUCAUUCUCAUUCUGAGGAGUCCACAAAACUUCGACAGCCAGAGUUUUGCUAGCAGGUAUGGAAGCCAGCUUUUGGAGUGCCUCCUUCAGGUCUGCACUUCCGUUGAUGACAGGUAAUUUGUGUGUUCCCGAAGCAGCCACCAGAAUUGUUACCACGAUGUACUCAUUGUUGACACCCUUUAAUCUUUGACUGGCCGUUUUGCUCCUCUUAAUGUUGUUCAAGUUUACUAGAGUCUCUUCAUCAAACUUUCC
rnacentral:misc_RNA from 1 species